rnacentral:rRNA from 1 species
AUGCCGCCGCCGCCGCCGCCGUCGCAGGGAGCAAUGGCCACCGGCGCCGCCAACCACCUCCUCCCCUGCUCCGUCGGCCGUCCGAAGGUGACGAAUCAGCGGCGCAGACCCGCUUCCCUCUCCGUGCGCGCGUCCAGCGACGCCAACACCGUGACGCUCCUGGACUAUGGCGCGGGCAACGUCCGCAGCGUGCGCAACGCAAUCCGUCACCUCGGCUUCAACAUCCGCGACGUGCGGAGUCCCGAGGACAUCCUCGCCGCCGACCGCCUCGUAUUCCCCGGAGUCGGAGCUUUCGGCUCCGCCAUGGAUGUCAUCAACAGUACAGGCAUGGCCGACGCGCUUCGCGAGUACAUCCGCAGGGACCGCCCCUUCCUGGGUAUCUGCCUCGGCCUUCAGCUGCUAUUCGAUUCCAGCGAGGAGAAUGGCCCGGUAAGCGGCCUUGGUGUGAUACCUGGAGUUGUCAGGCGGUUCGACUCUUCGGAGGGUCUCAUAGUGCCUCACAUUGGAUGGAACGCGCUCCAGAUCACCAAGGACACGCAGCUGCUGCAAGGAGCUGAUGGCCACCAUGUGUACUUCGUUCACUCCUAUCACGCUCUACCUUCAGAUGCGAACAGAGACUGGAUUUCGUCAACAUGUAACUACGGUGAGAGUUUCAUAUCAUCUAUCUCGAUGGGCAACAUUCAGGCAGUUCAAUUUCAUCCAGAGAAGAGCGGAGCUACUGGGCUUUCCAUUUUUGAAAAAUUUCUCAGUCCUAACUCUUCAGGGGCAAAGGCCCCAGCUCAUAGGAAAGCAUCAAAACUUGCAAAGAGAGUGAUAGCAUGCCUUGAUGUUCGGUCAAAUGAUAAUGGGGAUCUUGUAGUAACAAAGGGUGACCAGUAUGAUGUAAGAGAUCAUAGUAGUAGCAAAGAGGUAAGAAACCUUGGAAAGCCAGUGGAAUUAGCAAGUCAAUACUACAUAGAUGGGGCUGAUGAGGUCAGCUUCUUGAAUAUAACUGGUUUCCGUGCCUUUCCAUUGGGUGAUUUGCCAAUGCUAGAGGUGCUACGUUGCGCAUCUGAAAAAGUUUUUGUGCCACUUACAGUUGGUGGCGGUAUAAGAGACUUCACAGAUGAAAGUGGACGAUACUAUUCAAGCUUGGAAGUAGCAUCAGAAUAUUUCAGGUCUGGUGCUGACAAGAUUUCAAUUGGAAGUGAUGCUGUUUUUGCUGCUGAAGCCUAUUUACAGACUGGUGUGAAGACAGGGAAAAGCAGCUUGGAGCAAAUUUCUAGAGUAUAUGGAAAUCAGGCUGUAGUUGUAAGUAUUGAUCCUCGAAGAGUAUAUGUAAAAAGUCCAGAUGAGGUGCAAUUUAAAACUGUAAAAGUGUCCAGUAAAGGUCCAUCAGGAGAAGAAUAUGCAUGGUACCAGUGCACAGUAAGUGGUGGGCGUGAUAGCCGGCCUAUAGGAGCAUAUGAACUAGCAAAAGCUGUCGAAGAAUUGGGCGCAGGAGAAAUACUACUCAACUGCAUUGAUUGUGAUGGUCAGGGCGGUGGGUUUGAUAUAGAUUUGAUCAAAAUGGUGUCGGAUGCUGUGACAAUUCCUGUCAUUGCAAGCAGUGGUGCUGGUGCUGUGGAACAUUUUUCUGAAGUCUUUGAGAAAACAAAUGCUUCUGCUGCCCUUGCUGCUGGCAUUUUCCAUCGGAAAGAGGUUCCCAUUCUAGCAGUGAAAGAGCAUCUGGUAGAUGCUGGUGUGGAGGUCAGAAUGCUGUAA